UGCCCAGAUCCAUCAGAGUCC
rnacentral:piRNA from 1 species